UACGGAGGGUGCAAGCGUUAUCCGGAUUCACUGGGUUUAAAGGGUGCGUAGGUGGGUUGCCAAGUCCGUGGUGAAAUCCCCGAGCUUAACUCGGGAACUGCCGUGGAUACUGGUAGCCUUGAAUAUGGUGGAGGUAAGCGGAAUAUGUCAUGUAGCGGUGAAAUGCAUAGAUAUGACAUAGAACACCAAUAGCGAAGGCAGCUUACUACGCCGUCAUUGACACUGAGGCACGAAAGCGUGGGGAGCAAACAGG
rnacentral:misc_RNA from 1 species